rnacentral:rRNA from 1 species
ACGUAGGGGGCAAGCGUUAUCCGGAAUUACUGGGUGUAAAGGGAGCGUAGGCGGCAUGGUAAGCCAGAUGUGAAAGCCCGGAGCUUAACUCCGAGGAUUGCAUUUGGAACUAUCAAGCUAGAGUACAGGAGAGGAAAGCGGAAUUCCUAGUGUAGCGGUGAAAUGCGUAGAUAUUAGGAAGAACACCAGUGGCGAAGGCGGCUUUCUGGACUGAAACUGACGCUGAGGCUCGAAAGCGUGGGGAGCAAACAG